rnacentral:rRNA from 1 species
UACGUAGGGUGCAAGCGUUAAUCGGAAUUACUGGGCGUAAAGCGUGCGCAGGCGGUUUUGUAAGUUUGUCGUGAAAGCCCCGGGCUCAACCUGGGAACUGCAUUUGUGACUGCAUGGCUAGAGUUUGGCAGAGGGGGGUAGAAUUCCACGUGUAGCAGUGAAAUGCGUAGAUAUGUGGAGGAACACCGAUGGCGAAGGCAGCCCCCUGGGUCAAGACUGACGCUCAUGCACGAAAGGCGUGGGGAGCAAACAGG